GACCUCUGCGCGCGCCGCCGGCUGCCAUGGCGGGUGCGCUCCUCGCCGCCUUCUCCCGGGCCCUUCCCAGCCCGCUCCCCGGCUACCGCCCUGCAGCGUCGCUCUCCCGGGCGCGGCGCGCUCGAGGGGGCUCUGCUGCCGGGUGGGGGCUCCGGGUGCGAGGCGGGGGCGGGCGCUGACCUGGGGCGUCCUGGCCGCGGGACGCGGGACUGGGCCCCGGAGGAGGCGCCGUGCUGUGUCCCUCCCCGCGCCGUUUCCAGCCAGGAAGCUUCGGGAAGCCUGGUGAGAGUCCAGUGCGCGAAUUCGGACCUAAGCGGAAAGCGGCCCGCUCGCCCGCGCCCCUUCCGCCCCUGCUGCUGCGCCCCCGAGUCGCGGAGGCUUUGGGGACGUCGCCGCGAGUGUCGGCAUCUUCGAGAAAUGGAUUUCUCGUGCUGUGUCCACGCGUCGGGUGUUUCCGUGUGACCGGCCGCCCAGCGGGAGGCUGUCGUGGCGGAAGGAGUCCGGUGACCGCCGGACCAAAGACUGUUUUACAGGACAGGACAUCUGCUCACUGGAAACACACGUGCGAGGGGUGCUGGGGUGUUGGGAAGGAGGUGACUUAGCCUGUGAUGGACUUCCAGUGUGAGCAGUGGCCAGAAUGACGAGGCCAACCGGCCCCAGCCUGGAUCAAGGUCAUUUGGUGAAUCCAGGUUAAAGAAACCUGGUCUGCGGCACUGUCCUUGUUCAUUUUUCAGGUGCAGAGGCCGGGAUGUGGGCGCAGCCCUGUGCCAGGAGGCUGGCUGGAACAGAGGUACAGGCCUCACUCCCCCUGGGAACUGGCACCCGGGGUGUUUGCAGCCUGAGAACCCAGCUUUCCACACGCCCACCUACCCCCAGGGCCACAGUUGCAGCUCCUGCUCUGCUUUCAUUCCAGGGAUGGGCAGGCUGGCAUCGGGAAGCCCACCGCCUCUGCCUGGGUAGUGCUGUGUGUUCCAACCGGCCAGGGGGCAGCUGCCGGGACCACCCCUCCAUUUUAGUGUCCCGAUUCUUAAGUUCUGCCAUUGUGGUAUUCUGGUGGAAAGAAAGAACCAUUUGGCUAUUUUUGAACUGCCUGGAAUCUAGGAUCCUGAGUUAGUUAUUUUUUUACUGUAUUGGAGUCAUCUUGUUUUUGUUGUUUUUUCCCCAAGGGGGAAAAAUCUACAUGGAAAACAUUUAUUUUAAAAUACAGGAUGAAGUGAAUUAGAAGAUUUAAUGCACAUUUCCUCAAGGAUAACAUUUCUGUGUUGGCAAAAUUUGAGAAUAAAUGGGUCUGGAACGGAA